CAGAGGCUUAUGAAGAGGUGAAGGAUCAAAUCAAAAAGAAAGGCAACACCGCCACAGUUAUAAAACAACGAGAGAAAGCGUGGCAAAGUAUUGCAGAGUGCCUGAAUGCAUGGUCUGCAAUGCUGACUAUCUGAUCAGCAAUGUUGUGGCAAAGUGGCCUGGCUCAGUCCAUGACUCCCGAGUCUUUCGGACCUCUGGAAUCUAUCAGCGCCUAUCACAAGGUGAAUUCUCUGGUGUGUUGCUGGGGGACAGGGGGUAUGCCUGCCAGCCUUUUCUCCUCACACCAUACACAGACCCUCAGGAAACAC